GACGUAGGUGGCGAACGUUAUCCGGAAUCAUUGGGCGUAAAGGGUGCGUAGAUGGCAUAAUAAGUUAUUAGUGGGAAAUCGAGGCUCAACCUCGUGGAAGCUAGUAAUACUGUUUUGCUUGAGUGCAGAAGAGGUUAACGGAACUCCAUGUGGAGCGGUAAAAUGCGUAGAUAUAUGGAAGAACAUCAAUAACGGCGAAGGCAGUUAACUAUUCUGUUACUGACAUUGAGGCACGAAAGCGUGGGGAGCAAAACGG
rnacentral:rRNA from 1 species